GGCAGAAGUAUAGAGCUAUGAAAAGGACAAGGCAACGAGACUGGUAGAGAAGGAAGAAAAAGAACACGGUGGACAGAAAUCACCAGAAUGGCUUAGGGUGCAAGACGGUGGCGGCACUGACCAGGCGAAGGUGCUGCGUGGGAGGUCAGGUGCUCAGAGGGACACAGCAAAGAGGAAACAGUUCACAGUUCCGGCCAGCUGGUGGACAACACAGCCAACGCUGCUGGUGGGUGAGGAAGUCAGUGCACCGUGCAGCCCAGGACCCCCACUCCGGGAGUCCCUCUCAUCGCAGCAUUUGGAGAUGCGUCCUCUUCCUCCCAGCACGGCAGUGGCGGUCCAAGUCCUGGCCCUGAAUAAAAGUAGGAAGCUGCCGUGGAGCCCACUGCUGACGUGCUGUGCUCCAUGCUGGGCUGCACACUAGGUCUGCAGUUAUCGACCAAGGACCUCCUCAGACUGCCUGAUACGCUGUGAAAAAACCUUCCCUGAGCACACUGAGCCAGCGCCUCCCCGUGUCGGUAGGUGCCAUCUGAACGCAGACUGAGCUGUUCGCACCUUUGAGCUAGAGUCCAGCUCCAACACCAUGCCAGUGGGGGUGACAGUAACUGCACGAGUCAACCCUCCCAAGGAGGCAUGGUUCUUAUCACGUUCCUAGCCCUGAACUUGGGGUCCAACACAGGAUUUGGUGGUGGUGGCCUCUGAAUCCACAGGUCCCACACCCACUGAUUCAACCAGCCCCGGACCAAAAAGAUUCUGGAAAAAUGAGUCCUUCUGUCUUUUUCUUGUCAUUAUUUUCUCAGUGUUUCUGUAUGGCAACUCCAACCAUUGUGUUGAUGUUAGGGGUACUCCAGACAUGGUGGACAGUACACAGGAGGCUGUUGGGAGGGGGAUGGGCAUGUGUGUGCACACGUGUUCUCAAAACAACCAAUGCUGGAUCCUGAGACAUACGGAGUUUGCUAUUCCAUGUUUCUCUUUAUUCCAUUGCA